AAUAAGGUAAGUCAUAGUAGCAUAAUAAUUGAGGAACUCAAAAUCAAUAUUACAAAAUCAAGGAAGUAUUCCCUAAGUUAAGGGAGUAAAUUCAAACGGUAAGGAACAACAACAUAUAAGGCUAGAAAAAGAAAAUCAGUACAUGACUAGUAAGAAAAGAAUCAACGUUCAGUAAGAAUAGGGGGAGUUAAUUAGGACUAAAUUCAGAAAAUUCCAAUCAAGGAAAUGACUCAGUAAAAUAAAGUACCAGAGCAGAUAAGGUAACGAAAUCAGUCAAUUUAAACAGACGAGUAGAAUUUUAAGGUUUUAAAAAAACUUUUCAAUCAAACCACUAAAUAAGGGAAUUAGAAUUAAAUCAAGAGAGGAUUAUGAUUCUAUACUUCAACAUAUAAAUAAAGAAGAACAAACAGACAUAUCAAACAGGGAAGGUCAACCAUAUCGACAGAAGAAAGCAAGAGAUGAACGAAUCAAACGAAUAACAAUCACACAGAUGUGAUACAAGUAGGCCAAAGACUGAGUAGAAAACCCAUUCGAAGCAUGGUAAUUAGAGAAUCUUAACAAGAAUCAAGUAGUCCGGCUAACACAAAGAACCAAAGCAAAGAAGAUCUUAAAAAUUAGGGCUUUUUAACAUAGGCGAGUUAAAAAGUAGUAAGAACAUAAAAUCAUUCAAGAUAAGCAAGGAAAGAGGUUUAAACAUAAAGAAAAAUCAGUUAAACAAGUGUAGAAGAAACUCCAAGAAACCCUAAUUUUAAAGAAAGUAAUACGGUUUAAAGUUGAGGAUUUUUUAGAAGAAGUUCGAGAAUAGUGCGAAACAUAGGAAGAAACAGACUUAAAGAAAUAAAAAAUGGCAUAGAUCUAAGAGAUUUAAAUGAGAGUUAGGGUUUCAAAAGAAACCCAAAUAGAAAUAAAAGAACCUGUUAUAUCUUCAAAGAUCGUAACAUAGAUGGUUUGAUUUUGCCCAAAAUUACACCAGAGAAGCCAUGAAAAACACAAACCCUAGAUACAAACCGACAUGGCCCAGGACCCUUGAAGGCCUCAGAGAUGAUGAGCAAGGCAAUGGAGGACCCAUUGGAGGCUUAGGGUUGAAAGGUAGUCAUCGGAGAUGACCGGAGAAGGAGGCGGCAAUUGAAGGGGAUUAGGGUUAGGUUGAGAGAGAAGAAAGAGAUGAGAGCAUCUGAAG
rnacentral:lncRNA from 1 species